UUGUCUCAAAGAUUAAGCCAUGCAUGUCUCAGUACAAGCCAAAUUAAGGUGAAACCGCGAAAGGCUCAUUAAAUCAGUUAUGGUUCCUUAGAUCGUACCCACAUUUACUUGGAUAACUGUGGUAAUUCUAGAGCUAAUACAUGCAAACAGAGUUCCGACCGGAGACGGGAGGAAUGCUUUUAUUAGAUCAAAACCAAUCGGCGGCGGGUGCGUUCGCGCGCCCGUUCGCCGCUCAAUUUGGUGACUCUGAAUAACUUUCGGCUGAUCGCACGGUCUCGCACCGGCGACGCAUCUUUCAAAUGUCUGCCUUAUCAACUGUCGAUGGUAGGUUCUGCGCCUACCAUGGUCGUAACGGGUAACGGGGAAUCAGGGUUCGAUUCCGGAGAGGGAGCCUGAGAAACGGCUACCACAUCCAAGGAAGGCAGCAGGCGCGCAAAUUACCCACUCCCGGCACGGGGAGGUAGUGACGAAAAAUAACGAUACGGGACUCAUCCGAGGCCCCGUAAUCGGAAUGAGUACACUUUAAAUCCUUUAACGAGGAUCAAUUGGAGGGCAAGUCUGGUGCCAGCAGCCGCGGUAAUUCCAGCUCCAAUAGCGU
rnacentral:rRNA from 1 species